CCUUUCUGGUGGGCGGGGCACUGUGUUUUAAUUUUCGUAAACAAGAGCCCUUUUUUUUGUCGACUAACUAUUGAAAGAGAUCAUAUUGGAGGCUUGGGGAAGAUGGUGAUUCUAAGUCUUCAAGGGAGACAAGCAGUGUGGUGGUAGUGACUGUGAAGCCGAAAGCAUGCUGAAGGCGGUGUUAAUGGAGCGCGCUUAAUCUCAGGAACUUAAAAUCGCAGAGAGACUAUAUUGGCUUACGAUCAUGCGAGAUAAACCUCUUCAUUGUUCAUCCAGAUGGGAUAGAGAUUUCCAGCUCACAUUGGCUGCUUGUUUACGAGUAUUUGGAACAGGAACAACCACAUUAUUGGAAGCCUUUUAUUGCUAAGGAAAAUCGGCGAUUCCUUUUUCAUCAAUGUUAAUGUGUCGAGUUUGUGUUUGGUUAGUUUUUGGUCCUGAUUAAGCUGCCUGCAGUGCACUUGCUUUGCCCUGGCACCUCCUUCAGGUUUCAUCUCUUGCAUCUCAGUUUCUCGAUAUCAAAAUCUACAGAAGCUGUGACUUAUUGCGUAGGAGUUGGAUUUCUGUGGCUUGGUAUUUGUUUCCCCUAUUGAAUUCUAAGCAUUGGAUGCUGGAAUGGUUUCAACUACGCAACCCAUAAUUAGAGAAUCGCACAAGAUGUACAGAACAUUUUAGAACGCCUUGAUGCUGUCCAAGAUGACUGCUGAACCAUUGAAGGGAAUCUGAUCAGCCAUCGCAAAAUGUCUGUCCACCACUCUUCUCUUGUUCAUCAUCCACUUGGUAACUUUUGAAAAUCUCGAAUGUCAACAGAAGCACAUUUGAUUAUUGGCA